AGCCGGGGGAACAAGAAAACUGGGGGAACGGGCACGCGUCUUCGCCCCCAACUCUCCUUGUCAACUAGGACGACAGGUGAGAUCGCGCCAAAAGCGAGGGUCUGUGCCAGGAGAGAAGGGACGCUGCGAGGAGGGAGCUGGGUGUGUACUGCAGAAGCCAGGAGAGACAGCGAGCCCCUCGAGGCGUUGAAGACCGAGCGUCAGCCUUCUUGGCCUCCCAUCGGCCGGUGCCACCCAAAUUUCGCGCGCCUCCCGGCCCGUCCCGAAUGCAAGCAGCGCAGGCGAGGAAGCAUUGCUCGCGAUGCAGCUGCAUUCGCACCAGAGGAAAGCCUCCAGCCGCGCGACUCCAGGACCUUGAGAACAUUGACUGCUGCGUCCUGGGACUAUCCAACUGUCCGAAUCCCCAGACCGUGUUCUCCGUCUAAGGACUCAGACGGGAGAUCUCUCGGAGUCGAGUCUCCUCCAGAGGACAGCUUUGCUCAGCCUCCUAAAAGAUCCCUUUGCUCCUCCCUUCACCACAUGUGACCAAGUCUCCCAGUUUCCCAGCCUGGAGAGCUUACCGGAAAAGAACCCACGUGACAUGGGAUCUGCUUGCUCUUUGGAAAAGCAGGUAUUGAGGAAUCUCUUCUUCUUUCCUCUUCCCCCUCUUCCUUGAAUGGCCUUUGUGACUUCAGGGCCCCAGUGCAGCUGAGGUUGACAUGGCAGGGUAAUCCUAUAGAGAAGGGAAUGUGAAAGGGACCUCCUCCUUGAGGAAUAAAAGAAGCACCUUGAAGUCAGUAACACGGGGAAUGUGACUCCUGCCAGGUCUGCUGGGCAGGCCCUUUCUGCUCCUGGCUGCAGCCUGUCCGUCCAGUCUUCUGCAGUCAUCUGGGUAAGCUUUUUUUUUUUUUUUUUUCUUUUUGCCUUUUCUUGGGCCGCUCCUUGCAGCAUAUGGAGGUUCCCAGGCUAGGGACUGAAUCAGAGCUGUAGCCGCUGGCCUACACCACAGCCACAGCAACGUGGGAUCUGAGCUGCAUCUGCGACCUACAGCACAGCUCACAGCAACGCCGGGUCCUUAACCCACUGAGCAAGGCCAGGGAUCGAACCUACAACCUCAUGGUUCCUAGUCGGAACCCACUGAGCCACAACGGGAACUCCUGGGUAAGCUUCUUGAUGCGAGCAGACGUGGGCGAGACCCCUGCUGGGAGGUCAUGAUAGAGGAACUGUAGAAACUGAUCUUCCAAUGUCUGAG
rnacentral:lncRNA from 1 species